UACAGAGGGGGCAAGCGUUGUUCGGAAUUACUGGGCGUAAAGGGCGCGUAGGCGGCCCGCUAAGUCGAACGUGAAAUCCCCGAGCUCAACUCGGGAACUGCGUCCGAUACUGGCGGGCUUGAAUCCGGGAGAGGGAUGCGGAAUUCCAGGUGUAGCGGUGAAAUGCGUAGAGAUCGGGAGGAACACCAGUGGCGAAGGCGGCCUUCUGGACCAAUACUGACGCUCAUGCACGAAAGCGUGGGGAGCAAACAGG
rnacentral:rRNA from 1 species